rnacentral:rRNA from 1 species
AAUGAACGCUGGCGGCAGGCCUAAUACAUGCAAGUCGAGCGGAUGAACGGAGCUUGCGCUUGUAUUCAGUUGGGGACGGGCGAGCAAUUCCCAGGUAGAUGCCCUGUCUAUGGGGAUGACGUCAGGUAAGGGGAGCUAAUAUCAUAUCGGUUAAGAGGUUGAAAGGGGUGGAUCAUCGGAGCUCGACGGACUUGAUGAGCCUAGUAGAGAGUACCGGGCUGGAUUAGCUAGUUGGUACGGUAACGGCCUACCAAGGCGACGAUGCGUAACUGGUCUGAGAGGAUGAUCAGUCACACUGGAACUGAGACACGGUCCAGACUCCUACGGGAGGCAGCAGUGGGGAAUAUUGGACAAUGGGCGAAAGCCUGAUCCAGCCAUGCCGCGUGUGUGAAGAAGGUCUUCGGAUUGUAAAGCACUUUAAGUUGGGAGGAAGGGCAGUAAGUUAAUACCUUGCUGUUUUGACGUUACCAACAGAAUAAGCACCGGCUAACUUCGUG